AGCGGCGAACGGGUGAGUAACACGUAGGUGAUCUGCCCAUCAGACGGGGACAACGAUUGGAAACGAUCGCUAAUACCGGAUAGGACGAAAGUUUAAAGGUGCUUCUGGCACCGCUGGUGGAUGAGCCUGCGGCGCAUUAGCUAGUUGGUAGGGUAAAGGCCUACCAAGGCGACGAUGCGUAGCCGACCUGAGAGGGUGAACGGCCACACUGGGACUGAGACACGGCCCAGACUCCUACGGGAGGCAGCAGUAGGGAAUCUUCGGCAAUGGGCGAAAGCCUGACCGAGCAACGCCGCGUGAACGAUGAAGGCCUUCGGGUUGUAAAAUUCUGUUAUAAGGGAAGAACGACUUCAGUAGGAAAUGGCUAGAGUGUGACGGUACCUUAUGAGAAAGCCACGGCUAACUACGUGCCAGCAGCCGCGGUAAUACGUAGGUGGCGAGCGUUAUCCGGAAUUAUUGGGCGUAAAGAGCGCGCAGGUGGUUGAUUAAGUCUGAUGUGAAAGCCCACGGCUUAACCGUGGAGGGUCAUUGGAAACUGGUCGACUUGAGUGCAGAAGAGGGAAGUGGAAUUCCAUGUGUAGCGGUGAAAUGCGUAGAGAUAUGGAGGAACACCAGUGGCGAAGGCGGCUUCCUGGUCUGUAACUGACACUGAGGCGCGAAAGCGUGGGGAGCAAACAGGAUUAGAUACCCUGGUAGUCCACGCCGUAAACGAUGAGUGCCACGUGU
rnacentral:rRNA from 1 species